rnacentral:hammerhead_ribozyme from 1 species
AUCCAGCUGUCGAGUCUCAAAUAGGACGAAAUGCGCUUCUCGGAU